GGCAGGAUGGCCGAGUGGUCUAAGGCGCUGCGUUCAGGUCGCAGUCUCCUCUGGAGGCGCGGGUUCGAAUCCCGUUCCUGUCA
rnacentral:tRNA from 1 species